AUUCCACGAAUACCACGAACGCGACAACACUCGACAUUAUAUUAAAACUGUCAAAAAUGCGAUAACGUGGCACAUAGAGGGAAAACCGAGAACUUCAAUUAGCGCAAUGACAGCCAAUACAAUUGUUCGGAAUGGACUGUUAAAGAUCAUCAAUCCUGAGCAAAUUUGUAUCACUACAAAGGAGCCCCGGAAAUGCGAUGAUAAAAGAGAGACUACGGCACUGCACAAACGUCAAGUGUUGCGCGCGCUAUACGAGAUAGGUUAUUCAGAAUUCUUACGUCUCAGAAACUAAAGCCAUAAUCUUAUGACAUUUUUCUAAUAUAAUAUUGACGAUAAUUUGAAACUAAUUCUGUAAUAAAGUUUCUUUCGAACUACAAUAUAUAAAUCUUAUUUUAUGAUACAAACAAGUUUUAUUUUAUUUAGCAUAGUCAUAGAAGUGAUUUAUAUGCAAUGUAGUACCAAUUAAUAUAUGUACUUGGUUAUUUAUUUGUAAUUUCAUAUCCAUUUUUAAACAGAUAAUUUUUGAAAAUUUAUUACAAAGUUCUUCAUAUAUUAUUAUAACUAAUAAAAAAAAAACACCAAUUGCUUUUACAAAAAGAUAGUCAAUAUUACUGAUAGAGUGAGUGUAUAACACUUCAAACAUCUAAACCUAAACCACCUCAUCUCUCCAGCUCUAAGUAUAAUUGUAAAUUAAUGAUUGUCAUGGAAUGAUAUAUAUGUCAUGAUAUAGUUGCCAUAUCGUCCCAGCUGUUCUCAAGGGUGCCACAUUCAAGAAGAAGUCAUGAUAUAGCUUAUUGAAACCUAAAACCUCUCUUCAUUUUUUUUUCUUUUUUUUUCUUUUUAUUGAUUUUUAUUACUUGGUAUUUAUUAUUUUGUUGGUGCACGAAUAUAAUACACGUGCAUUUGAUUGACCCAAGUAUAGGGCUAACAUCUAGCUAACACACUAUCACAGCAUACUAUUGUAAAUAUAGGGAACGACGCAAGAAAUGUCAUAAUUGUCGAUUCCCAGUCAGAGAGCUAGAGAUAAACUAUGGAAUGUAAUAAGAUGAGGCGAUAAAGAUGCAAACGUUUCCCUCACCAGUAUCAGACUACCAGAUCCUUGGAGAAUUCAACUACGUCCGACGGUAUCUUAUUAAAGGUGGA